ensembl:lncRNA
CGAGCCGAGUCUAUGACCUACAUCACAGCUCACGGUAAUGAUGGAUCCCUAACCCACUGAACGAGGCUAGGGAUCGAACCCACCUCCUCAUGGAUACUAGUCGGGUUCGUUGACUGCUGAGCCACCACGGGAGCUCCUAGAAUGGGUUUUUUGUAGGCCCAGAUGAGGGGACAGAAUCAGACUAAAUACUGUUAAAUAUGAAAAUAUGAGGUGGGCUGGCGUUAUUAAAAAUUCAUUCCUGGGAGGACAACACUCACUUACAGAGCAAGUCAAAUCCAAUCAUCCUGGUGAAUAUUAGACGGAGGUCUUAGAACUCUAGACUGACCGCAGAGACAAAGGUUGAUGCAGAGGCUUCAGUUAAAUGCCAGCCCGCUGGGUAGAGAUCCCAGUUCCAACCCACUGCCCCAAGGCUACCUUCUACCUCCGUGUCUGAGGGAAUAGGAGCCCACGUUUACUUCACUUGGCGGCAGGGGCAUUUUAUAGCUUCCAUUCGCUCCCCAGCAAUCACAAAGAAUGUGUUCUGGCCCAGGCCCACCCCUCCGGGGAACAAUAACCAUUUCAUACAUUGGUAUUUAGUUACAUGGCUGUGAAUGCCCUCUAGCCAAUCAAAAUAGGGUUCUUGAAGAUCAGAUUUUCAUUUCUGCCAAUGAGGAUAUUGGCUAAAGCCACUCUGGAAAAGGAAAGAAGAGCAAACGUUCUGUUUCAAAAACUUUGGGUGUGCUUGCUUCCUAUGCACGGAUAGAGACGGUUGCUGGAGCCGUGAUGAUGGAGGUCAUAGCACAGAAUGUGGAGACACAGGCAAUUCACGCGUCAGAGAAUUCCGAUACAUCCCAAAAGAUGAAACGUAAUAACAGAAAAACUUGUGUCUUCAAAUUGGCCAAAGCAGGACAAACCCUCAUGGGUGUUAGCAUAAAGCAUAAACAAAAAUACCCGUCCUUAUUCUGGUCUUUUAAAGUCAGACUUUGCUGGAGCAAGUGCGAGGAGUCUUAGAAGCCCAUCUUAGCAGAAGUGAGAUCAGAUCUAGGGAUUGAGUCACACACAGAGCAGUUUGGACACUGAAGGUACCUUUCUCUUCAUCACAGGAAAAAAAAAAAAAAAGGUUCCCCUUUAUUUAACAAAGAUACGGAAGAUAAAGAGAAAUGUUAAGCAGAAAAGCAUUUAAAAAUCUGCUUUGAAAAGAAAAAAAAAAAAAAUCCCCAAUUCUUAUAGCUCUCCAUGUGCUGCCUGGGAUAGAAGAAAAGAGAAAGCGAUACGAAAUGAAAUGGGGCAUGAAACCCACAAGUUGACAAAACAAGUUUGCCUCCUGUUGAAAUUGACUGGACUAGAACCUCCAGAUGCCAUGGGAGCGGCCCUAGAAAAGGCAAAAAGACAAAAAAAAAAAAAAUAUGCUUAAGACUAUUCUUUUUCUUUUUUCUUUUUUGGUUUUUUGGGGCUGUACCUUCGGCAUAUGGAGGUUUCUAGGCUAGGUGACAAAACAGAGCUUCAGCUACUGGCCUAUACCACAGCCACAGAAACGCCAGAUCCGAGCCACAUCUGCAACCUACACCACAGUUCAUGGCAACGCUAGAUCCCCGACCCUCUGAGCGAGACCAGGGAUCAAACCUGAGUCCUCAUGGAUGCUCGUUGGAUCCACUUCUACUGCGCCACAAGGGGAACUCCCCUGCUUAAGACUAUGCUUAAGGAUGACCUCCCUUCUCCUGCUGAGAGACGCAGAAGGAAGCUUUCAGAGUUACUAGAGUUGUUCUUAAUUCCAGCCUUUGCUCUCUAAAACACAGAGGGGUAAGACAACUUCCCAGGUCAAACAUGAGGAGAAAUUUCCACUCUUAGCACUCACCCGAGCACUUAUCCACAGGGCUUAGAGUACAAAUGGGUGGCCACCCCCAGCGCAUGACCAUGUCAACAUUGUAUUCCAACUACCACCCACCUUCCUCACUGCCCAGUGCCCUGUCUAUGCAGUCACAGGGAGCCGACAGUGGGGUGUGCCAGCACAGAUACUGAAACACAGGAUCAGCCACUUUCUACUAAGCUCCAAACUACGCUGAGGCCACUCUACCACUAGACGCCCAGGAACCUUACAAGUGAUGCCAUUCAGGGUCUCGAGAUGGUGUGUGCAUUUCUGGGGGUCAGAAAAAGAAAACAGGGCUUUAAAGCAAAAGUCUAGGAAGCCAGGAUGGUUGAUGGGGACACUGAGAGAGGAUGGAGCUCUCUGAUCAGGACCAAGAAAAAAGACCACUGUGGGAGGCAUGGGCCAGAUGCGCUUCCUGCAAAUGCAAAGGGGCCCAGAGAUGCUCUUCUUGGCGCUGGGGUCCGUUAUCACCUGAACAGCCUGAACAGGUGAGGUUCUGGGGUGCUUGCUGAGCUUAUGAAUCACAAGCUUAUGAAUCACAGUCAUAGUAUUUUCUCCUCUAUCUCGAAGAUUAAAUUGCAAACCAUUUCAAAGCUCUAGAUUCUAGUUUACCCCUCUAGUAGGACACUAAGGCUAGUGCCCCAGAUAACCUCAUCAUUAACAAAAACAGGCCUGUUAGCAAAGUUUGUAAAGCAAACUUCUGUGCAACAACUUGCCUUUUGACCUGUAUUGGGAUACUAGGCAUCUUCUAACCAGAAGUGAUAGGAUUACAAUGAGCACAGCAUUUCAAAACAAACUGAAAAAGAAAAGGUCAACUUUCUGAUAAAGCAUUAGUGAGUCUAAGCUAAUAAUAAUACUAUGCCACAUCUCAGAAAAAUUCCAAAUACUUAAAGUUUAAAAAUGCAGUACAGGAGUUCCCGUUGUGGCACAUGUUUAAACCUCUAAAAGUUAGUCUGGAAGGAGAGGUUCUGGAAUGAAAUGGGGGGAACUUAAGUUAUGACUAGUUUUUUGUUUAAAAAAAAGCCUUAAAAACAAAUAUGGCAAAACACUAAUAGCUGUUAAAUCUGAGUUGGAGGAAUAUGGAUGUUUGCUGGAUUAUUUUUGCAUUUGUGCAUUUGCUAUAUUUUUUAACUUUUUAAAGAAAGAAUCUUUGAACUCAAAUGUUAAAUCUCAAGUUUCUUCAUUAAUCUCCCUAUUACCCUACAGAGUAUUUUCUUGAUUAUCUAUAAUCUUCUUCUUAUUUCAAAAUAAGCAAUAUAAACAGGGCAGACAAAUAAAUGAAGCUGUCAAUCCCAACUGUGAUGCCUACUUUUACGUGUCAAUUCAGCUCAGGUACGAUGCCCGGAUGUUUGGUCAAACACCAGUCUAGACGUUGCUGUGAAGGUAUUUUUUAGAUGUGAUUAAUAUUUAAACAGCGAACUUUUCUUGAAGAUUCCUCCCCAUUAUGUAGUGGGCCUUGUUUAAUCAGUUGACAGCCAUAAGUGAAAAGAGACCAAGGCUUCCCAAAGGACAAGGAACUGUCCUCAAGACUGCAAAAGGAGUUCCUGUUGUGGCUCAGUGGGUUGAGCACCUGCCAUGGUGUCCCUGAGGAUGCGGGUUCGGUCUCUGGCCUCACUCAGUUGGGUUUAGGAUCCAGUGUUGCUGUGCGCUGCAGCACAGGUCAGAUGCAGCUUGGAUCUGGUGUUGCUGUGGCUGUGGUGUAGGCUGGCAGCUGCAGCUCUGAUUCUACCACUUGCCUGGGAACUUCCAUAUGCUGCAGGUGCAGCCUAAAAAGAACCAAAGAAGACUGCAACAUAGAAACUCUGCCAAAUUUUCCAACCUGCUGGCUCACCCUACAGAGUCUGGACCCGCCCAUCCCCAUGACUGCGUGAACCCAUUUCUCAAAAUAAACCCUCCCCACUUUCUUCACACACAUGUAUCUCCUCUCCAUUCUAUUUCUCUGGAAAACCCUGACUAUACCAACACUGCAAGAUUGGAGGCUACCACGGUUUCUCAACAAUGAAAAUGGUUCACAGUUUUUGUAACAAAAGGGUAGUAAACCAUGCUUUGGGGGAGUGAGGGGACAAGGACAGACCAGUUUGUGUUGACACACUGGAAUCAAACACAGCUUGUGUUUAUUUUCUAGGAAAAUGGCUCAUGAGGAGAUAAAAGUUCCUCAGUAAGAUGGCAUCUUGUCAGAGGUGUGAUUUUUCUGAGUGGAAAGGUCCCCACUGGCCUGAGAUUACCUGCUGGCCAGAUGCUUCUGUGGAGGAUACCUGUCCACACUCCUGCAAGGAGGAUCAAGAGGGGCCGGAGGAGUGAAGGCUGGCCUUCCCAUGCCCGGGAUUUUUCCUGAGGGGAAUUCUGCCCGUUUCUUUCACCAAAACCACACGUUGACAGGCUGCCCAAGACAGACUGCUCUCUGUAGACCGACUUCUCCACCCAUGGGCCUCGGCUCUGCUCACACUGUUGUCAACCGUGUCAAGUGCUCUGGCUUCAUAUGACAGCCCACAGUCCCCUUCAUCUGUGAAGUACACCUCCAGACACCACAUACACCUGCAUAAAAGGCUACAAGGACCCCUAAAUAGAAGUUGGUAUCCCUUUGUUCAGCGUAGAUCUCUUACGGAUCUUAGAGAAAAUGUAUCUGAGCCAUUUCAUGUUGUGCACUUCUGUUCAUUUUACUUUGGUUUGGGACUUGCAAACCAAGAAAAUUCAAGUAAGGAGCAAGAGUGGAGUUACUGAAACAGCGGUUCAAGAUGACAACAGUACAUGUUAUAAAAAUGCUUCUUGACAUCAACCGGCAUUACUUAUAAAGUUAGAAGUGAACAAAGGACAUCUCAGUGGGGACCAUGAGAUGAGCCCAAAUAUAAGCAGUCACCUACUGUCCCAAUCAGAACAACCUGGUGGGGGGUGGGUAGUAUUUUGGUUAAAUAAAUGCAAAUGAUGUAAAUGAAAGACUAUCAUAAGAUGGCAACAGUCCACCUAAGCAGCCUUCGGUGGAAAUGUAACAUUUAAAAUAUUUACUGUAAAUAUUUUACAGUAAAAAAUGUAACAUUUAAAAUAUUUACUGUAAACGAUUUAAGACAGUAAUAUAACAAUCCACAUGGUUGUGGGUGCAAGAAUAUCAUACACCUAAAUCCUACAUAAACAGCAUACGUUAACACUUAUUUAGAAAUAUUUCUAGUUUCCUCCCGUCUCUGACUCUCACAUAUUAGAAAAUGAUUUAUUCAGAGUCUUCAGUGGCUGUUUUACACCCAUGCUUGUGAUUACGGCUGCAUUCGGGGUUUUCUAAAGCACAUCCCAUUGACUCCAUGUCAGUUAUUUGGGAAAGGUUCUUGACUUGUGCCAUUUUUAAAUGAUCUUUAAAGGUCUUGUUUACAAAGAAAUUCAACACUUGUUACUGUGAGGUCAGAUGCCCAGGAAUACUACUAGAUUUUUUUUGAAACCUUUUGUUAAUAUGAUUUCCUCAGUUGACCUCUAUGGAGCAUCCAGAACCAGUAUUGACGGAGGUCAUUUCAGGCUAAUGCAUGUUCUCUAAAUAACACUGUGAUGUUCAAAAUAAAAUAAUUGUGAGAUCUUUCCACAGCAUGAGAGAAUUUGUAAAGAUUUAAAUCUAAGUCAAUUUCCUCAUUUCCUAAGAUAAUUUUUUUUGGGGGGGGGAGUGGAUAGGGAGCAUGCCUUACAUUUAAUUUGGGCUUAUGAGGUACAUCCUGCAACUUCAUUUCCCACACCCUCCCCACCUGCCUCUCCUCCUCGACAGCAGUCAUGGCAACGUGGUACAGAAUCCUACACAGAGAGAUGGGGGACUCCUGGGGAACCCAAAAGGCUGUGUCUAGAGGACCCGGAAACCGGCACCUCUCCCACAGACAGAUGGGUGCUGCCACAGGAGCCAGGCUGGGAGGCCCCUGACUUUUUGUCUUGUCUUUCCUCUGCUUCUAAAAAUAAUUUGUGCAGCUGUGGUGUGAUGCCUUUAAGAGUGGCAGGAGUGGAGUUCCCCUUGCGGCUGAGCAGGUUAAGAACCUGACUAGUAUCCAUGAGGAUGAGGGCUCGAUUCCUGGCCUUGCUCAGUGGGUUAAGGAUCCAGUGUUGCCAUGAGCUGUGUGUAGGUCGUAGACACAGCUUGGAUCCUGUGUUGCUGCGGCCAGCAGCUUCAGCUCCAAUUCAACUGCUAGCCUCGGAACUUCCAUAUGCCAUGGGUGCAGGCCUCAAAAGACUGAAAAAAAAAAAAAAGAGUGGCAGGAGAGUAUCUGCAAUGGG